rnacentral:rRNA from 1 species
UACGGAGGGGGCUAGCGUUGUUCGGAAUUACUGGGCGUAAAGCGCACGUAGGCGGCUUUGCAAGUUAGAGGUGAAAGCCCAGGGCUCAACCCUGGAAUUGCCUUUAAAACUGCAUCGCUAGAAUUGUGGAGAGGUAAGUGGAAUUCCGAGUGUAGAGGUGAAAUUCGUAGAUAUUCGGAAGAACACCAGUGGCGAAGGCGACUUACUGGACACAUAUUGACGCUGAGACGCGAAAGCGUGGGGAGCAAACAGG